AUUGAACGCUGGCGGCAUGCUUUACACAUGCAAGUCGGACGGCAGCACAGAGAAGCUUGCUUCUUGGGUGGCGAGUGGCGAACGGGUGAGUAAUAUAUCGGAACGUACCGAGUAAUGGGGGAUAACUAAUCGAAAGAUUAGCUAAUACCGCAUAUUCUCUGAGGAGGAAAGCAGGGGACCUUCGGGCCUUGCGUUAUUCGAGCGGCCGAUAUCUGAUUAGCUAGUUGGUGGGGUAAAGGCCUACCAAGGCGACGAUCAGUAGCGGGUCUGAGAGGAUGAUCCGCCACACUGGGACUGAGACACGGCCCAGACUCCUACGGGAGGCAGCAGUGGGGAAUUUUGGACGAUGGGCGCAGGCCUGAUCCAGCCAUGCCGCGUGUCUGAAAAAGGCCUUCGGGUUGUAAAGGACUUUUGUCAGGGAAGAAAAGGCUGUUGCUAAUAUCGACAGCUGAUGACGGUACCUGAAGAAUAAGCACCGGCUAGCUACGUG
rnacentral:rRNA from 1 species